GACGGAGGAUGCAAGUGUUAUCCGGAAUCACUGGGCGUAAAGCGUCUGUAGGUGGUUCGAAAAGUCCACUGUUAAAAAUUGAGGCUUAACUUCAAAGAUGCCGUGGAAACUUUCAAACUAGAGUAUGGUAGGGGUAGAGGGAAUUUCCAGUGGAGCGGUGAAAUGCGUAGAUAUUGGAAAGACCACCGAUGGCGAAGGCACUCUACUGGGCCAUUACUGACACUGAGAAACGAAAGCUAGGGGAGCAAAUGGG
rnacentral:rRNA from 1 species